rnacentral:rRNA from 1 species
GGAUCCCAUCAGAACUCCGAAGUUAAGCGUGCUUGGGCGAGAGUAGUACUAGGAUGGGUGACCUCCUGGGAAGUCCUCGUGUUGCAUUCCUAUUUUAAUUUUCCUUGCGCGUCGUGACAAACAAAACGCAACGUGCGUGACAUAUAUUAACCCCGUUUUUUCUUAUUUUCCAUGUUUGCGGUACGUUUGCGCUCGCUGCUCAUUAUUCACGCGUCUAGCCGGCGUUGUGGCCGGCAACGCGUUCCCGAAAGGGGUCGAGACCGUGGUAAAUACGUGGUGGUGCGGUUGAGAGGGAGGGGUGGAAACCGUGGUAAAUUCGUCUCCGCAGUUGAGCGGGAGUGGCCAAAAGAAUGUGCAAUCGUUUUGUAGUGGAGCUGGGAGGGGCAAGCAUAAGGGACGAAGGCAGGGGUAACAUGUCGGAUGCGAUCUUACCAGCACUAAAGCACC